rnacentral:tRNA from 1 species
UCUAAGGAUGAGUGAAAGUAAAAUUUCACUCUAAAUAAUAUACAUCGGUAAUGUUGACCGUCCUCAUUUCUCUUCUUAAAGUAAUGUUUCCUUCUUGUAGGGCCGGUAGCUCAGUUGGUUAGAGCACACCCUUGAUAAGGGUGGGGUCGAAAGUUCGAGUCUUUCUCGGCCCACCAAAAACCUAAAUGGGGGAUUAGCUCAUCUGGGAGAGCGCCUGAUUUGCAUUCAGGAGGUAGCAGGUUCGAUCCCUGUAUCCUCCACCAGGAAACAUUUAGUUAUUAAAACUGUAAAUAAAAAUAAUUUAUAUCAAUAUCUAUAUCCGAACAUUAAAAGUUAUUAUUUAAUGUUCAAAAUAAAAAUUUGAUCACAACAUAGAUAAAUUUUCUGUAAAAAGAAUUUUUUUCUGUGCAUAAAU